CCUACGGGAGGCAGCAGUGAGGAAUAUUGGUCAAUGGACGAGAGUCUGAACCAGCCAAGUAGCGUGAAGGAUGACUGCCCUAUGGGUUGUAAACUUCUUUUAUAUGGGAAUAAAACGUUCCACGUGUGGGAUUUUGUAUGUACAAUAUGAAUAAGGAACGGCUAAUUCCGUGCCAGCAGCCGCGGUAAUACGGAGGAUCCGAGCGUUAUCCGGAUUUAUUGGGUUUAAAGGGAGCGUAGGUGGAUUGGUAAGUCAGUUGUGAAAGUUUGCGGCUCAACCGUAAAAUUGCAGUUGAAACUGGCAGUCUAGAGUACAGUAGAGGUGAGCGGAAUUCGUGGUGUAGCGGUGAAAUGCGUAGAUAUCACGAAGAACUCCGAUUGCGAAGGCAGUUCACUGGACUGCAACUGACACUGAGGCUCGAAAGUGUGGGUAUCAAACAGGAUUAGAUACCCGAGUAGUC
rnacentral:rRNA from 1 species